GAGGGACUUGUUGACAUCUCUGCAAUUCGCUAAACGUUUAACCCUUCAGUGGCUUAAUUUGUAGAGCAUGGCAUUUGCAAUGUCAGGGUUGUGCAUUUGAAUCACACUGGGGCAACCCAUCGGAAGAUGUAUGGAUGUAUUACUGUAAGUAGCUUUGGAUGGAAAAUUAUAAUAGUAUUACAAUAUUACCUCAGGAGACAAUCAUUUGGGGGACUUGAAUGGGAUAUGAAUAGAUUGACCAUGAUUCUGUACUAUCUAGGUAGUUAUACCACUUCUCAAUUUAUUGUGCUGUGAGUAUCUCGUAAAAUGCUUUUUAGAGUUGUCUUGUGACCCAUCAACAUGUAAACAAAACCAAUGAUUCUAGCCAGGACCCCAGUCUUAAACCAUAAUGUAGCAACUUCCACCUAGUCUAUGGAGAAUGCGCUGUCUGUGAGACAACCAAUAGCAUUUACGGAACAUGUAUAUGGAUAGUGUCAUGCAGGAGCGCAACUUUCACUGGAGACGGGGUGGGCAUGUCCCCCCCACAUUCUGAAAUUGCAUUUUUGUCCCCUCCAUUUUUAUCAUUGGAAUGUGAUACAAAACGUGGUACGGGUGCGCUUUAGGACCAUGCGGACACCUCCGAGCGGUCGUGUAGGCUGUUCAUCCAACUGAAAAAUAUAAAUAAAAUAAUACUAAUACAAAUGCCACCCCACUUCUAAAACCAAAGUGUCAUGUGAUAUAUAACAAACACAAUCACAAACGGUUCAGAUUGAACUGAUUGAAAGUCAGUUCCUCGAGGCUAGAUGUGUGUGCAAUCGUUUUUGUUCCAGCCCAGCCCUACCACACUUCAUCUAACUUAACAACACCCUGAUUAGUUGAAUCUGAUAGUGUAUGUGGAUAAUUGUCAUUUUAAUCACAGUAUCACAUGGCAUGGUGGUUACAGGAGUUUGCUAAUGAUUGUUCCUCACUGUCUUUUGGACUCCAGGCAAUGUAUGACUCCAUAGCUGUUGGCAGUAUUUAACCAUGUCAACCUGAUUUAGCAUGACACAGGACUUUGUUGGAUGCUUUGACCUCAUUCAUUGAUGUUAAUGUUGAUAAGAAAUACAGUAUAAUUUCCAAUGGAGAUAUUACCUGGUGGAAAUUGAAUCGGUGGCUAACUUAGAGAAUUCUCUCAAUCAAUCACACACACACAUGCAGACAGUAGGGUGUCCUCUCUCUCUGGAAAUGGCUCGUGUUUAGUCAAAGGUAUUCAAGUAUCCCUGGCAUUCGCCGCCCACCAUGUCGCAAGUCCCAUUUAGUUUCCUGUCAGAAGGCGAGAAGGGGUGAUAUACCGGUUAGUAUUAAAAAGGUCAAGUGAAAAGAGAAAUUUUUAUUUUAUUUUACCGUUAUUUUACCAGGUAAGUUGACUGAGAACACGUUCUCAUUUGCAGCAACGACCUGGGGAAUAGUUACAGGGGAUGAAUGAGCCAAUUGUAAACUGGGGAUUAUUAGGUGACCAUGAUGGUUUGAAGGCCAGAUUGGGAAUUUAGCCAGGACACCGGGGUUAACACCCCUACUCUUACGAUAAGUGCCAUGGGAUCUUUAAUGACCUCAGAGAGUCAGGACACCCGUUUAACGUCCCAUCCGAAAGACAGCACCAUAUACAGGACAGUGUCCCCAAUCACUGCCCUGGGGCAUUGGGAUAUUUUUUAGACCAGAGGAAAGAGUGCCUCCUACUGGCCCUCCAACACCACUUCCAGCAGCAUCUGGUCUCCCAUCCAGGGACUGACCAGGACCAACCCUGCUUAGCAAAUGAGCGAGGGAUGGCAGUCGUCGGCGAUUGAAGGGUGUUACUCAUGCUCCCCGGGGGUCAAAGUUGAAGAGGAAGUGGUGUCCGUUACGCACCUAUGCGUUGCGUCUGCUAUAGUUGUAUUAAAAGUGGCCACAUUGCGACAUGGCUCCAGUGGGUCUUUUUACUAGUCGGUUCUCAAAAUGAGAACUGCAUGUAUGUAUGACUUCACACCAGGGAGGGCUUGACAUGAUCUAGGUCUGUCAUAAAUCAGGUCCUGUUGUGACCGUUGACAAGCUCAACUUUGUGCUGUUAUGAUAAUACUUGAAUCAAUGAAACGUAUUGUGACCAUUAAACUCAAAACAGGUGCAUCGACCAAAAUGCAAAUAAAAUACCAAAAUUGUGUAGCUGGUCCGCACUCAAAAAGGAGAUACAAGGUUUCUUUUUAGUAUUUAUUUCAUUCAGGCAACGUUUCGGCCUUCAUCAGUGUCAUUUUCCCCUCUAAUCAGGGACUGAUUUGGACCUGGAGCGGGCAAUUAAUUAUCAGAUAGAACAGAAAAACAGCAGUAGUCCGGACCUCAUAGAGUAAGAUUUGAAUACCCCAGAUCUACACUAUAUAUACAAAAGAAUGUGGACACCCCCUUCAAAUUAGUGGAUUCGGCUAAUUAGUGUAUAAAAUUGAGCACACAGCCAUGAAAUCUCCAUAGCCAAACAUUGGCAGUAGAAUGGCCUUACUGAAGACCUCAGUGACUUUCAAUGUGGCACCUUCAUAGGAUGCCACCUUUCAACAAGGACCAGUUCGUAAGUGCUGUUAUUGUGAAGUAGAAAUGUCUAGGAGCAACAAUGUCUCAGCCGCAGUGGUAGGCUACACAAGCACACAGAACGGGACCGACGAGGGCUGAAGCGCGUAGUUCGUAAAAAAUAGUCUGCCCUUGGUUGCAACACUCACUACCAAGUUCCAACCUGCCUCUGGAAGCAACGUCAGCACCAUAACUGUUUUUCAGGAGCUUCAUGAAAUGGGUUUCUAUGGCCGAGCAGCUGCACACAAGCCUAAGAUCACCAUGCGCAAUGCCAAGCGUUGGCUGGAGUGGUGUAAAGCUCACCGCCAUUGGACACGCUUCACCAUCUGGCAGUCCGGCGGACAAAUCUGGGUUUGGCGGAUGCUAGGAUAACACUACCUCCCCCAAUGCAUAGUACCAACUGUAAAGUUUGGUGGAGGAGGAAUAAUGGUCUGGGGCUGAUUUUCAUGGCCCCCUUAGUUCCAGUUAAGGGAAAUCUUAACGCUACAGCAUACAAUUACGUUCUCGAUGAUUCUGUGCUUCCAACUUUUUGGCAACAGUUUGGGGAAGGCUUUUUUCCUGAUCUAGAGAAAAAACAGUGGCAUGGGUAAACAGCGAUCCAUUUGUCUUUAUAUGUUGUAUAAUAUUCAUGUUUAUGAUGGGCAAUGUUGUCUACACGUUACAUUACUCCAACCCACAGAUACUGCAAUGUCACCAAUGCACAUUGCUCUCUUGUAUGCCAUUGCCAAUGUUUGAGUUGUUCAUGUCAAUGUGUGAGCCAAAAUAGGGUCCUUGUUGACUAGGUGCAUUCCUCAAUGGAGAGCGAUGUUUUGUCUUACACACACUUUCCCAUUCCUAUUCGGAGAGUUUCAUGGCUAUUUUUGAGGUGACACUCCUGCUCAUGGAAAGUGGGGAUAUAAAUACCCAGACAUUGUAGGAGCAUAACUCCGGUUUCCCAUCUGCCCUCUCACAUCCUGGGAAAGGGAAAUAGUUUGCUAACAUAACAUUUGUGUUAGCCACGAACACAAGUGUCUGUUUCAGGUCUAAACGUCCGCAAAAAAUAAUCAAGUGUCCAUGCAGACUUUGGCUAUAUUUUAGGAAUAGCGUCGUCAUUUUCAGUUUGAAUAUUGUCGCUAAAAAUCCACAGUAAUCCUUAAAAAAUUGUACAUUUUGGAAUGUUCAUUCCACUGAAAUUGUUACUCUGAAAUGUUCGCUGCAAACAGAAGCCUUGCUGAAGAGUUACAGUUCCCCCACACACACAAAAUCUACCAGAAGGUAUUAAUGAAACCCACUAUGUAUGAAUUAAUGGCACUGUUCGCUCCUCGCCCAUCUCAAUAUUAGAAGCUGAGUGCUUUGGGCCUGGAAUGGUUGGAGAUGCCUGGGGAAUGAGCUAGCCUUUGGCUUGAGUAUGACAAAAGGGGUUGGGGGCUCAAAUCCAGCAAUUUCACAAUAGUCAUGCAUCUACCACCCAGGACAACUGGGUGAAUGUGUUUGUUCAUAGACCCUGUAGUCCCUUCCCAACUGAGCUGGUCUUUUUUGUAAUUCUGAGGAUAUUCAAUCUUUCUCUCAGACUUUGGGUGCUCUAUUCCCGCUCAUUGAGCUAGCAGAACUAGGCACAAUGUUUGUAGUUACCUUUAGGUCCUUUGAGACGGAAUGGAUAGUUGAAAGAAGAGUUCCUAUAUUGUUUGGUACAUGAAUUUCCACUGGAAGAAGCAGAAGCUAGGAAACUGAUUUGUCACACUUCACCUUUCUCACCACUUGGUGAUGCUAUUGUUUAAUGCUUUUCUCACUGUUGACUGGAAAGGGACUACCUGAGGCUUUGGAGCUGGAAUGGUUGGAGAUGCUUUGUGAAAAAGUGAGUGUAACAGUAUAACUUUAAACCGUCCCCUCGCCCCGACCUCGGACGCGAACCAGGGACCCUCUGCACACAUCAACAACGGUCGCCCACGAAGCAUUUAUUAAGAGAUUUAGAAAAGUAUUGUAACGACCCUGGGUUUAUAAGCGCGGAAAUCGACUCUGACACCAGAGCAUGCUUUUGCGGCACAGUCGAUAGCGCGCCGGACCUCGGGCUAGAAGGUCGAGGGUUCGAGACCUGCUCCCUGCUGUUUCAUUACACUGGUGUCAGAAGUGAUCGGACCUCGCAUCCACGACAGUGCGUGUGCUUGGCCGGUGAGCGCGUUCCUGUAAGACGUAAAGUCGCAAGAUAGCGCGAGGACGCGCUCUUUGAAAGGAGGGAGUAGUGUAACGACCCUAGAUUCGAUUUCCGCGCUUAUAAACCCAGGGUCGUUACAGUAUAUAGCUAGCUACAAGUAACUAACGUUAGCCAACUUUGAGAUGCGAAUGGGACUAACAUUGACUUGAUAAUUUGUAUUUAUAUUCUUUGCAUGUCCUUGCAGAGACCACAUGGUAUAUUCAAUUACAAACCAAAAUAAAAGUUUGUAGUAAUGAAAACACGGAGAAGGCUAUAGGGGCAUGCAAAAAGGGCAUGUUAAUCAGUAAUGGCAUCUGUGAUGUUUAAAGUACCAAGGUCCACCACAGGUGACAGACAAAGUGGAAAGGUUACCCCUGACCAAGGCCAGAGUGGCAUAUGGCACUGCCAUUAGGAGGUAGAAGAAACUCAGGAGAUAACGUCACACCAUUAGGCCAAACAUAGUGGUUGUUUUUUAGACGGAGGCAAAACCCAGAGCAUGCAGAAAGUAGACGACGUCCUUAAUAGAUGCAGAGCCAACCAGGCUACAAAACCUGAUAUGACUGAAUACUUUGAGCUCAUGGAGAAGACGCUGGAGCAACAUGGGUUGAAGGAUAAACCUUCUCAGAUGUACAACUGUAAUGAGACAGGGUUCCAGAUGGAUGCAUCUAAAAGAAAGGUCCUUGCACCAAAGGGCUCAAAGAAGAAUUGCAUCCAGGCACUUGGUACACGUGACCGUGUGUCAGUACUGGCUUGCUUUAAUGCGGCUGGUGAAGAUGUCCCCCCUUUCAGAAUUUUUGGAAAGAGAUUCCCAGGAGGACCUUACACCAAGGAAGGUCCAGCUAAUGCUCUCUAUGGCACAUCACCAUCAGGAUACAUUGACAAUGAACUCUUCAGGGGGUGGUUUGUGAAUAAUUUCAUCAAGUAUGCUGUGAAAACAUGUCCCCUGCUGCUGGUGUUUGAUGGACACAAAAGUCACCUGGAUCCGGAGGUGAUUGAGGCAGCAAGAAAAGAAAACGUUGUGCUCCUUCCUCCAAACAGCUGUCACAUUCUGCAGCCCCUGGAUUUGACCUACUUCUCUGCUUUGAAGACUGGGUUUUUCAAGGUAGCUGGAGACCUUUGCCACUUCAAAAACUCCGUAGUCAUUUCCAAGAUGGACUUUCCCAUGGUUCUCCGUCAGCCGUACCAGCAAUGCAAAGAGCGGAAGAUUGUAGUCAGCGGGUUCAGAAAAGCUGGGAUCUUCCCCUUUAAUCCCAGUGCCAUAGAUUGGAGUAAAAAAGUUCCCUUGACAUCCAAAAAGCAACAGCCCCAAAAGACUGCGACUCCCUCCAGCCCCACUCCAUCAGCGCCACCACCAGCAGUAACUCCCAGCAAGUACAUGUCCCACCCCCUGGUAGCAGCAGGACUGAAUAAUCUAGAAUUGGCUGAGGUCUUCACAGAGAUAGAUAAUCAAAAGAAGACGAGACCAAAGAAGAUGAAGACCUCACUGAAAGCUAGGGUUAUUACUGAGGAAGAGUAUGAGAGGGAGAUGAAACUGGAGUCGGCAAGGAAAAGAGACAGCAAGACACCGUCUCCUCGUAGCACAACCCCCCGAUGCCGCAGAGAACCCCCAACCAGCCCUGCUACUUCUCCCUCAGAGGGUGAAACUGCAUCUCCCGCAGGUAAUUAUCAGACAUUUUAGUUCACAACGCCUGACAGAAAUACGUUAAUGAUCUAGAGUGGCUCAUUAAUGUUUUGGCUAAUUAUCAUGAAAUAUAUGUAGGCAUGUGAAUCAUGAUUAAAAAUCCCACCGACGCCAUCAAUGUACACGCCCACCAUACUUAAUUUCUCUACUGUCAAAUUAAGCAGAAGUGCCCAUCGCUCUGCUAUGUUUCUUGUCCAACAGUCAAACAAACAAGUAAAUCCAGUAGAACUCAGAGCAGGUCACAUCAGAGUACUGAGGAGGGGAGAGACCGAGAACUGGAAGCUGAACAAUAAAUUAGCAGCGGUUCUCAAACCAAGAGGGCUGGGUUGAGGCACAAGAGAUUAGACUAUGUUGGUAACUCCAACGAUGAGGAUGGUUAUGGUAUCAACCAAGCCUCAGCCAAGGUAAGAGGAAAUGUGAUCAUCUUUCACCUGACUGUGAUUUAGAAUGGGGGUUCUUCAGAUCUUGGAGUCUUUCAAUACUUUGAAGUUGUUGGUUGAGCGUAGCUUUGAACAAACAGGGCUAUAUUGAAUCUGCUAUAAUGUACCCGAAUCUACGCAUUUAAGCUAUACUGUAAAUAUUCCCAUAGAUAUUCACCUCAUCCUAAUCUUUACAUGCAGUAAAGUGCAGAACUUCACUGGAAUACUAACACACGUUGUUCCCUGCAGACUAUUUUUCCCCUGAAGAGAGUAUUGCCAAACACACAUACAAAGAUUGAGGCAGUACACAGAAAUAUGUGGCAACCAUGUUCAGAUGAGGAGGAUGUUUCUGAGAUCUCUGACCUUACCUCAACAGAUUUUGAGGACAACAAAUAUGAACAGCAGGCGAGUUUAAAUUAAUUUGGAUGAUAUAGGCUAAAUUAGAGACAAAAAUCCAUAUUGCGAUGAAUUGCCUGAACUGAUGCGAUGAUGGUAAAUAGAACGCUAAGUUUAACAUUAAUGUGCACCACAGUUUUUAUUCUCUUUUAAACUACUACUAGUUUAAUGGUUGUAGCCAUCAGUUGUCCCAUUAACAAUCACCCAUGUUAGCAAACUGAUUUCAUUGCAAACUUCACAUUUCGCUAAUGUAGAAUACUCAUUGUAAUAAAUGAUAUCAUCAAAAUGCCUGUGAAAAGUGAUCGUACGGUCGGUGUCGAUAAUUUUUGGUUUAUCGUCCCAGGUCUAGGCUUAAUGGCUGUGCAUAGCAGGUUGUCAUUAGUCUCUAGAUCGAUUUGAGAUUAUUGUAAUGUCAUGUGAAUGAUGGUUUCUUAGUGCCAGAUAUUAAAUUGGCACCUGUUGGAUUACAGAUUGAAGCAAUGAGGAAAGCAAAGAUAAGGCGUUUGAUGCAAAGGAAAACAGUGCUGCUUUCAGAAUCAGAUGAUGACAUCACAGAGGACAGUUCGGAUGAUGGACCCUUGGUUAAGAUGAUGACCAGGAAGCCAUCAAAUGAGGAGCUGAAAACAACAGUGAAGAAACUGGUGGCCCAUGUCGACCUGGAGAAAGUCACAAUGAAGGACAUUUUCAAGAAGGUUUUUAAAAUGCACCCUCGUCAUGACCUGUCAAACAAGAAGUCCUACAUCAAGGAGACAGUGAAAAAGUUGUUGUCGCAGUGAAGUCUGGAGUUCUUUGCUAAUCGCCACCUUCCAUGGGGCGGCAGGUAGCCUAGUGGUUAGCAUUGGGCCAGUAACCAAAAAGGUUUCUGGAUCGAAUCUCGAGCUGACAAGGGAAAAAAAAUAGUUCUGCCCCUGAGCAAGGCAGUUUAACCCAGUGUUCCCCCAUGCACAUUUGUGGCCUGCUGGAGGUCAUUUUGCAGGGCUCUGGCAGUGCACCUCCUUGCACUAAGGCGGAGGUAGCGGUCCUGCUGCUGGGUUGUUGCCCUCCUACGGACUCCUCCACGUCUCCUGAUGUACUGGCCUGUCUCCUGGUAGCGCCUGCAUGCUCUGGACACUACGCUGACAGACACAGCAAACCUUUAUGCCACAGUUCGCAUUGAUGUGCCAUCCUGGAUGAACUGCACUACCUGAGCCACUUGUGUGGGUUGUAGACUCCGUCUCAUGCUACCACUAGAGUGAGAGCACCGCCAGCAUUCAAAAGUGACCAAAACAUCAGCCAGGAAGCAUAGGAACUGAGAAGUGGUCUGUGGUCACCACCUGCAGAAUCACUCCUGUUUUGGGGGGUGUCUUGCUAAUUGCCUAUAAUUUCUACCUUUUGUCUAUUCCAUUUGCACAACAGCAUGUGAAAUUUAUUGUCAAUCGGUGUUGCUUCCUAAGUGGACAGUUUGAUUUCACAGAAGUGUGAUUGACUUGGAGUUACAUUGUGUUGUUUAAGUGUUCCCUUUAUUUUUUUGAGCAGUGUAUUAUGGAACAAGCACAUGCAUCUAAUCUGUGUUUAAAACACUGGUAUCUAUAAAUUGUCCAUUCCAUACUGUUUCCACUGGUUUUAAUGCAAGCGCUGCAGCUCUCUGUAAUGGAUUCUCUUGACUGAGGGAUUCUAUUAGGCUAUUUGCACAUUCAUAGUAUUGUAGCCUAGGACCGGGGCGGAUUGGCCAUCUGGCAUUUCUGGCUAAUGCCAGAUGGGCCUGUCUAGAUUUUUUGUUGUUGUGUAAAAUGAACAUUAUAUGGCUAAUAGCGGGGCCCUUAAGAAGAAAAUGGGCCGGUGAGGGGGCCUCGAGAGGGGGAAAAAAGGCUAGUUUGGGGUCCUUGAGGGAAAAAAUGGUCCGGUGUGUUCUAAAGUCCAGGCUCGAUUUGUCUGUUCCUUCCAGGUUUUAUUGUUGCAAUGUAAUAUCUCCCCAACCGGCUGAUUUACUUUAUAACAAAACAUGUCAUAGUAACGAUAAAAUAUUUUUAUAUCAUGCUUUUUAGGCUACAUACUCCACUGAUAGUUGUUGCAUAUACAGUACCUGUGAAAGUUUUGGACACACUUUUUGUUUUUUCUAUUCUUUUUUUUACUAUUUUCUACAUUGUUGAAUAAUAGUGAAGACAUCCAAAUUAUGAAAUAACACACAUGGAAUCAUGUAAAAAAUAAAAAACCCUUCAAUGAGUAGGUGUCCAAACUUUUGACUGGUACUGUAUAUGUUUUAGUAAUUUAUAGAUCUAGUCCCCACAUUUGAAGAUGUCAUAAGUAUUUGGACAAAUGUCACUUAUCGUAUAGUGUACCAAAGUAGUCAAAUGUACCUGUUACAAUUGAUAUAUAGUCUUGUUAUAUUACAAUAUAAUUCUCCUUUAGAUUUGCCUGGGGGAGAACACCUCAGACACCCCCUACCCUCCAUGCGUUGUGGAAUGAGUGCUGCAUUUCUGUGGCAGGGUCAGGUCAGGACAGAUUCUGGGAAGUGUGCCAUGGGCCCUGCUAAGUAGUUUGGGUGAGGUUGGGGCAGAUGAAGAAGAUAAAGAAGCUUUGUUUAUUGGUUCAAACACCAAGGAGCCCCCCCCCCACCCCCCCCCCUGGAUUUAGCAUUUAUUUCUGUCUGGGGGAUAUUAAUACAAAGGGUGGUGACUGGUGGCCGCCUCGUACCGUACAUCGACUGAGACACGGCUUAUAGGCAUACUGAUAUGGGAGUGUCUAUGCGCCAAAUGCAGCAGUACUGUUUUACUGAGAAAGCGCCUUAGCAUAAUAAGAAGUGUGUUAUAUUUUACAGUCCAGUUGGGGUAAGACUGCUGUUGACACAUAGCUCCCAAAAGGGGGAAAACAGUUUUGUUUUUUCCAGUAAUAAAAAGGGUUCUCUCUGUGUUUGUGUGUGUGUGUUUAACGACACGGCCAAUGCUAUUCAAUGUGAACACACACUUUAAGGUUACGAAAGAGAAAUGAUGAUGCAAUUGCUUCUACAGUGUCUUCAGAAAGUUUUCAUACCAAUUUACUUAUUAGACAUUUUGUUGUGUUACAGCCUGAAUUUAGGCUGAGGAACAAUCAAUGUCGUAUUGGUAAGCAUCUCCAGUGUAUAUUUAGCCUUGUGUUUAAGCUUAUUGUAUGGCUGAUAGGUGAAUUUGUCUCCCAGUGUCUGUUGGAAAGCAGACUGAACCAGGUUUUCCUCAUAGAUUUUUUUUCCUAUGCUUAGCUGUAUUCCCUUUCUUUUUACCCCCCCAAAAAAUCCCUUGUCCUUGCCGAUGACAACCACACCCAUAACAUGAUACAGCCAGUACCAUGCUUUAAAAUAUGAAGAGUGGUGCUCAGUGAUGUGUUGAAACUCAGCAAAAGAAACCUUCCCUUUUUCAGGACCCUGUCUUUCAAAGAUAAUUUGGGAAAAAUCCAAAUAACUACACAGAGCUUCACUGUAAAUUGUUUGAACACUGUUUCCCAUUCUUGUUCAAUGCACCAUAAACAAUGAACACGCACCUGUGGAACGGUGGUUAAGACACAAACAGCUUACAGACGGUAGGCAAUUAAGGUCACAGUUAUGAAAACUUAGGACACUAAAAAGGUGUGGGAAUGACUGAAAAACACCAACUGAAAGAUGCCCAGGGUCCCUGCUCAUAAAGAGAUAUUCAAUCUUUGUGAGAAAUUGGACAACCUCCCUCGUCUUUGUGGUUGAAUCUGUUUGAAAUUCACUGCUCAGCUCACAGACCUUACAGAUAAUUGUACACAGAACCAGUCAAAAGUUUGUAGACACCUACUCAUUCUAGAGUUUUUCUUUAUUUUGACUAUUGACUUUAUCAAAACUAUGAAACUAAUGGAAUCAUGUUGUAACCCAAAAAGUGUUAAUCAAAUGUAUUUUAAAAUAUGUUCUAUAUUUGAGAUUCUUCAAAGUAACCACCCGUUGCCUUGAUGACAGCUUUGCACACUCUUGGCAUUCUCUCAACCAGCUUCAUGAGGUUGUCACCUGGAAUGCAUUUCAAUUAACAGUUAAAAGUUAAUUUGUGGAAUUUCUUUACUUAAUGCGUUUGACACCAAUAGGAAGAAGAGACUUGCUUCUGAUGAGAAACACAAGCAAUGGACAUUAGUCCGGUGGAAAUGGUCUGAUGAAUCCAAAUUUGCAAUUUUUGGUUCCAACCGCCUUGUCCUUGUGAGACGCAGAGUAAGUGAACGGAUGAUCUCCGCAUGUGUGGUUCCCACCAUGAAGCAUGGAGUAGGUGGUAUGGGAGUGCUUUGCUGGUGACACUGUCUGUGAUGUAUUUAUUUAAUUCAAGGCACACUUAACCAGCAUGGCUUCCACAGUCCCACUAAGCUCAAACCAGAUGGGUUGGUAUAAUUUGUUUUUCAACAGGACAAUGACCCAACACACCUCCAGGCUGUGUAAGGGCUAUUUGACCAAGAAUGAGAGUGAUGGAGUGCAGCAUCAGAUUACCUGGCCUCCACAAUCACCCGACCUCAACCCCAUUGAGAUGGUUUGGCAUGAGUUGGACCGCACAGUGACGGAAAAGCAGCCAACAAGUGCCCAGCAUAUGUGGGAACUCCAAGACUGUUGGAUAAGCAUUUCGGGUGAAGCUUGUUGAGAGAAUGGCAAGAGUGUGCAAAGCUGUCAUCAAGGCAAAGGGUGGCUACUUAGAAGAAUCUAAAAUCUAUUUUGAUUUGUUAAAUACUUUUUUGAUUACUACAUGAUUCCGUAUGUGUUAUUUCAUAUUUUUGAUGUCUUCACUAUUAUUCUACAAUGUAGAAAAUAGUAAAAAUAAAGAAAAACCUUAAUGAGUAGGUGUAUCCAAACUUUUGGUACUGUAUGUUGCACACAUUGUUCACUGUACUAUGUAUGCAUUGUAGUCUAUUUUAUUGUAUCAUAGUGCUGUCCUCUUCCACGGAUGGUCCUAUUAGUUUUUUAAAGCUAAUUCCAGUCAACCUUUUUAAUUAGCAGUGAAACAUGGUAUCCUAUGUUAUUUAAAAACUAAUUUUACCCAUCAAUGAUAAUGAAUUAUCAAAUCACUUGUAACAGAGGAAGUUCCUCCUCUACUUACAGUCUCUGGUUCCACAAAGCUCGCUCUCUCUGGCCAGGGUCCAAGAGCGGAGAGGUUGUGUAAGGCAGCGGGGCAGCCUUUCCCCGGUCCAGACCUGGGACUCCAGGGGUCCCUGUUCACCCACAUCCAGAAGCCACCGAAAAAGCAUGGACUGGUCCCUCUGGGCACACUUUAAAAGAAUCUGGAGCUGCUCAGUCUCAGACAGCAAGCUGGCGAGGUCAGUGAUCCCUGCAGUGCUUCAGAGCCUCCUUCCACAUCUUGUUCUCCUGUACCAUCAUGUUUAGCUACAACCUGGCCUGCCCUGAGAACAGUCUUGGUUUCCACUGAUGCGAUGCUGCCUCGCCAGAGCAGGAGGGCUUUGGGGAACCAUGAGACUGAGGAGAAGAGGAGCUUUCUUUGUUAAGUGAUUUGGUAAUUCACUAUCAAGUAAAAUUAUUGGGAUACAAUUAGGAUGGACAAUAUUAUCAUUAUUAUUUAAUAAUUGUAACAUUUAAAAUUUCAUCUUUAUUUCCAAUUCAAAUAAUAAAGUUAACAUGAUAUUGUUUGGUUAUAAGAUUCUAACCACCUUUACCAAAGGCUCGUAAUCUUCUUUUGAGGGGGAUUCAAAACAUUUUAAGUUUUCUUCAUCAGGCAUAUAGUGAAAUCAAUCAAGGUAUUUGAAAAGUUUAAAUCCCUUGAGAUAGAAAGAAGUAUUCCAAAAUGGUUAGGUACACAAAUAUCUGCUGCAAUGUGGCUGAGACUGAGCUGCUCUUCUCCUUUUUCGCCACUAGGUGCUGCUAUUUUAUAAUCUGCUCUCAUUGUAGGGUUGUGAGGGACAGUGACAUGACAGGCAAAGAUCUGAAUACAGUGUGCACAAUUUAUCCUAUUGUAAAUGUUUUUAUUAUUUUAGCCAAAUUAAUGUGGUAAUAUUCACAUUGGUGUUUUGCGGGUGCUAUUUAAUGAAGCUGCCAGUUGAGGACUUGUGAGGCGUCUGUUUCUCAAACUAGACACUCUAAUGUACUUGACCUCUUGCUCAGUUGUGCACCGAGGCCUCCCACUCCUCUUUCUAUUCUGGUUAGAGACAGUUUGCGCUGUUCUGUGAGGGAGUAGUACACAGCGUUGUACGAGAUCUUCAGUUUCUUGGUAAUUUAUCGCAUGCAAUAGCUUUCAUUUCUCAGAACAAGAAUAGACUGACGAGUUUCAGAAGAAAGCACUUUGUUUCUGUCCAUUUUGAGCCUGCAAUUAAACCCACAAAUGCUGAUUCUCCAGAUACUCAACUAGUCUAAAGGACAGUUUUAUUGCUUCUUUAAUCAGGACAACAGUUUUCAGCUGUGCUAACAUAACUGCAAAAGGGUUUUCUAAUGAUCAAUUAGCCUUUUUAAAAUGAUAAACUUGGAUUAGCUCACACAACGUGCCAUUGGAACACAGGAGUGAUGGUUGUUGAUAAUGGGCCUCUGUACGCCUAUGUAGAUAUUCCAUAAAAAAAUCUGCCGUUUCCGGCUACAAUAGUCAUUUACAACAUUAAAGAUGUCUACACUGUAUUUCUGAUCAAUUUGAUGUUAUUUUAAUGGACAACAAAUGUGAUUUUCUUUCAAACACAAGGACAUUUCUAAGUUAAGUGACCCCAAACUUUUGAACGGUAGUGUACAUAUCAGAAUCAAUCAGACAAUUAACCCAUAGUUUGACCUGGCCAAUAGAUUUGUGCAUAUCUGCUUUGUUGUUGACCUUACUCCCUAUGUCGGCAAUAGAUCUGAAAGAAUGCACAUUCGAGAAGAGCCACAUAAUGUUAGCAAUGAUAUAUGCUAAGAUGUAUGGACGUCAUUCAUCAUAUAUGAACAAUGUAAACAGGUUUUAAAAGAGGACCAAACCCUGAGAUGAGUAAGGUAAGAGGACUUGUAGUGUAUUCAUAUUUAUCAUAGCCUAACAUGCCGUUAUUCAUCAAUAUAUCGACAAUUUAAUUGAAAAACAUUUUGUGUAGUCUGCUGCUCACACACGUCACUACGGCAAAAACUUCUGUGUUAGAUAUUUAUGGCGAACUUAUUGGUCUGUAACGUUAGCCUACUUCUGUCAUGUUUUCAUUGCUUAUUAUCUGCUUGCAAAAGUGAAUGACUUCAAAUUCUACCAGUUUGCCAAAUUAUUGUACUCUUACCAAAACUGCUAUGCCAAUUCAUUGACUCCAUUCAGCAGCAUUUAUACUAUACUAAACUAUAUAUAACUUUACGAAAAGAUAUUGCAGAUAGAGUGUGA